rnacentral:rRNA from 1 species
UACAGAGGCCCCGAGCGUUAAUCGGAAUUACUGGGCGUAAAGGGCGCGUAGGCGGUUCGUUAAGUCCUGUGUGAAAUCCCCCGGCUCAACUGGGGAACUGCACAGGAAACUAGCGGGCUUGAGUUCGGGAGAGGGAAGCGGAAUUCCGGGUGUAGCGGUGAAAUGCGUAGAUAUCCGGAGGAACACCGGUGGCGAAGGCGGCUUCCUGGACCGACACUGACGCUGAGGCGCGAAAGCUAGGGGAGCAAACGGG